rnacentral:rRNA from 1 species
UACAGAGGGUGCAAGCGUUGUUCGGAAUUAUUGGGCGUAAAGCGCGUGUAGGCGGCUUUGCAAGUCGGGUGUGAAAGCCCUCGGCUCAACCGAGGAAGUGCGCCCGAAACUGCAGAGCUUGAGUACCGGAGAGGAUGGCGGAAUUCCAGGUGUAGCGGUGAAAUGCGUAGAUAUCUGGAGGAACACCGGUGGCGAAGGCAGCUCGCUGGGACGUUACUGACGCUGAGACGCGAAAGCGUGGGGAGCAAACAGGG